rnacentral:misc_RNA from 1 species
UCCCCGUUGAAGCGAGGCAGUCCGUCCAGAGUGCUCCCUACUCUCGUAGGGGUGGCAACAGGACGCAAGGGUUGCGCUCGUUGCGGGACUUAACCCAACAUCUCACGACACGAGCUGACGACAGCCAUGCAACACCUGUGUAGGGCCCUUGCGGACACCGUGUCUCCACGGCUUUUCCCUACAUGUCAAGCCCUGGUAAGGUUCUUCGCGUUGCAUCGAAUUAAGCCACAUACUCCACCGCUUGUGC